GUGGCUGGGGGUCAGUGGUAGACUGCUUGCCUGGCAUGCGUGAGGUGCUGGGUUCUAUCCUCAGUACCACA
rnacentral:tRNA from 1 species